UGCACACAUAAGGUAAGUCGCUCUGGAUAAGAGCGUCUGCUAAAUGACUUAAA
rfam:Salmo salar isolate Sally breed double haploid chromosome ssa25, whole genome shotgun sequence.